CUAACAUCUCUCCCUUCCCCAGUGACCUCCUCCGCUCUGCACUCUUGUAUCCACCAUUCUACUCUCUACUCGUAUGAGUUCAACUUGUUUUGAUUCCACAUAAAAAGACCUCGUUCGGAGGGCGGCUUAUACUGCAAGGAACUGCUGUCUCCAGCUAAUGGCCUGUGAGGCCCUAAGACCUGCCAGUAGCCUGUUGUGAGCCUGCCUGGAAGCACAUCGCAGGCCCCAGGCAAGCCUUCAGAUGACUGCAGCCCCAGCCAACAACCUGACAACAGCAGGCAGAGGCCCUGCACCAGGCGAGGAUCCCCAGCCCACAGCAUGGUGAGGACAGGCACACAGCACUCCAGAGGACUGAGACAGCUGGAGGAUCUUCCUAGAGGGUGAGAGACUUAAGGCCAUGCCCUGACAGAUGUAAUAGGACUUCCACAGGCGAAGAGGUUGAGAAAGAAGGCAUUCCACGUGGGAGAAGUCCUGGGAGGAAACACAGACGCAGAAUAUGUCCAGCAGGCUCUGAAACCUGUGUGGUUAGAACAGAAGGUUCCUGGAAAAUAGAAGAGUGGGUGAGGAGAUCGACUGGGGAGCCUGGUUCACUCUAUAGAAUUUUACAAACUGAAGAGGGAUCCAAGAAGCAUUUCAGAAAGCCAGAUCCAGCAGGUUUGUGUACCAGGAGUUGGAAAUGAGAUAAACUGUUGGUGGAGAGGUCAUUUUGGAGAUGUUUUUCUUUUAGAAUUCUUUCAUAUUUAAGAAUAGACUGAAUAACCCUGACAGCCCCCAGAAAGGAUGAACAAAAUGAUUCAGUUCAACCAACAUUUUGUACACAAAGCAAGAGAAAACAUUAGAUGCUUGUUAAAAGCAAAUAUUGGUGAUUCUGGUUUUAAGCCACGCCUGAAUUGAAGAAAUCCAAACUAAACAGAGCGCUAAGGAAUUAUUCCACUUCAAAUGCCUGCCAAUUUCCUCAAGAUGCAGCUUGUGACAGAUACAAAUACAUUCCAGGAAAGUACUUUCCCCUUUUCACUGCUGACUUUACAGACUUUAACAUAAAUAAGACAGGCAGCACUUUGUUUAGAUAAAUUUUGAUGAAGGUAUUAAUCCAUGGCUUAGUAUAUAUUUCACUAUCAAUGAAAAAUUCACCUCUAUUUAAUUUUCCUUAAAAUAUGAAAGUUUAAAACAAAUUACCAGAUCUUUAAUGCAACCCAAAAAUCAAUUUAUGUUUUUGAUGACUUGAAACCUAUUCCACAUCCAAUUGGAUGUUCAGACUUUGCUCAAAAGUUGAAGAAAAGAUUAAAAACUUCUGGAACAAAUCAGAAUAAAGUUACUAGAACUUAUUAGGAUGUUUUUUGAUACAGUUCACAUCCUAGGACACAUUUCUGAAAUCCUAUCAUGUAAGAUGGCUCUAUGUGUUUGAAAUGUGCAUUUAUAUGUUAACUUCAUGUCAGGCUUCACCCGUAUAAAACCUAAUGCCUGCUUAGACUCAGCUGAUCGCCACGAGGCUCUCAGAUUCCAUUAUAUCCGAUACUUCAAAGAAACACUCAUUUCCGUGGUUCAUCUGCUUCAUGUUUUCUGGUGUUUUCAUUCAUUCAUUCGUUUGAUGUACAUUUGUUGAACAUCAGUUCUGAAAAGCUCCAGGACCCGUCAGGCUUUGGGGAUGCAAUAGCAUGUAUGUGUGUGUGUGUGUGUGUGUGUGUGUGUGUGUGUGCAUGCAUAUGUGUGUGUGGCCAGAAAGAGGAAGGGGGAGCAAAUAGAACAGUAAAAUCCAGAGAUCCAGUUACUGGGAGAAGACUGAGUUAGGGAAGGCCCCUUGGACUACGAUGAGACUUUUGAGUUGGGUCUUGAGGGAUGGGUUAAAGUCUGUCAGGCAGUCUGAUCCCCGACCAAAAAAUUGUUCAUGCAAAGGCCUGAAGUAGUAAAGGACAUUGUUCAUUCUGGCACUGUCAAAAGCUCAUGUGGAACCAGGCCCCAUGACUCAGGCCAGUAAUCCCAACAUUUUGGGAGGCUGAGGA